UUAACAUGAUGGACUAUAGGACAGGACUGCUGCUUUUAACUGUCUGCUGGGCAGGUGUCAGCAGUCAGACUCUGACGCAGUCUGAACCAGUGGUGAAGGGCCCCGGAGAAUCACACAAACUGACCUGUACAUAUGCAGGAAUAUCUGAUGAUAACGCUGUUAUGGCCUGGAUCAGACAGCCUGAAGGAAAGGGACUGGAGUGGGUUGCCUACAUUUCAGCUCCGAGUGGAAGCACUAAAACUUAUUCCACAUCAGUCCAGAAUCGCUUCACCAUCUCCAGAGACAACAAUGUGGACCAGGUGUAUCUGCAGAUGAACAGCCUGACUGCUGCAGACUCUGCUGUUUAUUAUUGUGCCCGACAGACACAGUGA